GAUGAAGAACGUAGCGAAAUGCGAUACGUAAUGUGAAUUGCAGAAUUCAGUGAAUCAUCGAGUCUUUGAACGCACAUUGCGCCCCCUGGUAUUCCGGGGGGCAUGCCUGUCCGAGCGUCAUUGCUGCCCUCAAGCACGGCUUGUGUGUUGGGCCUCCGCCCCCCGGCUCCCGGGGGGCGGGCCCGAAAGGCAGCGGCGGCACCGCGUCCGGUCCUCGAGCGUAUGGGGCUUCGUCACCCGCUCCGUAGGCCCGGCCGGCGCCCGCCGGCGACCCCCCUCAAUCUUUCCAGGUUGACCUCGGAUCAGGUAGGGAUACCCGCUGAACUUAAGCAUAUCAAAGCGGAGGA
rnacentral:misc_RNA from 1 species